rnacentral:rRNA from 1 species
AACGAACGCUGGCGGCAGGCCUAACACAAGCAAGUCGAGCGAAGCCUUCGGGCUUAGCGGUGGACGGGUGAGUAACGCGUGGGAACGUGCACUUUGGUCCGGAAUAGCCCCGGGAAACCGGGAGUAAUACCGUAUGCGGCCGGGUGACGAAAGAUUUCUCCCCAAAGGAUCGGCCCGGGUUGGAUUAGGUAGUUGGUGGGGUAAGGGCCUACCAAGCCGCCGAUCCAUAGCUGGUUUGAGAGGAUGAUCAGCCACACUGGGACUGAGACACGGCCCAGACUCCUACGAGAGGCAGCAGUGGGGAAUCUUAGACAAUGGGGGAAACCCUGAUCUAGCCAUGCCGCGUGGUCGAUGAAGGCCUUAGGGUUGUAAAGAUCUUUCAGUGGGGAAGGUAAUGACUGUACCCACAGAAGAAGCCCCGGCUAACUCCGUGCCAGCCGCCGCCGUAAAAC